GGACUUCCAGGGGGGAGUGUGGUGUCUGAUGUUUUCACAGCAGAGCAUGGCGGCUGGGUUCCAAGAGGGAAUGUUCUAAACGUACCUUGAGAGAAAGCUCAGUUCCAGGAUUUGAAUGACAAUGGCUGCUCCUCAUUGUUUCUGCCCUGAUCAAGGCGCUCCUUUUACAGGCAAACCAUGUAAUUAGGUUUGAGGGACAGUGCCUUGGGGAAGCACAGAGCCACAGGACCUCAGUGCUGGAAGGAGACCUGGAGAUCACCAAGCCUAGACUUUCCCUUUUACAAAUGAAACAGCUGCAGCCCAGAGAGGUCUAGGUACUUGUAGGUAUCAUUGAACAGAACAGGCCAAAAUCUCUGCCCUUGUGGAAUGCACCUAAGAACUGGCUGGCACCUCCCUGUGGAUUCACUGGUAACUAAAUCCAGAGAAUAAAUGACACAUAAGACAGGCCCCAGAGGCUACUUACCAGGAUGGAGUAAGGAAGUGAUAAUGAGGGCUUCCAGAGGAAUAAACUUUUUCCACCGCCCAGGCUUUCUGGGCCCUGACUUUGCUGUGCUCUCAAGCAGCUAUUGCCCAUGUCUUUCCUUAUAAUUGAGAGCUCUGAUCUCUGGACACUCCUGCAGCUAUGGGCAGUGGAGGCUGUGCGAGGACCCUUACCUCCAUCAUUCAACCUGCAGAGAAGAGGGCUCUGUGGUGACUGGGGACAAGGUAUCCAACUUAUUUCUGCCAUUGACCUGGUGGACAGAGUCUAGAAGGAUGUUCCACUAACACUGUGGAACUCAGAAGUAUUAAAACUCAGUAUUUCCCUGCCCCAUCAAGUCAGAAGACUGAAGAAGCAGCUGUUCCAUUACAGCCAAGGUUUUCAAAGUGUGGUCCUUGGACCAGCAGCCUCAGCAUCAACUGGUGUGUGUUACGUAUUCUUGCUUAACAAGUUACUCUAAAACUUAGUGACUUAAACAACAAACAUUUCUUCUCUCACAGUUUCUGUGGCUCAGGAAUCUGGGCAUGGCUUAGCUGGGAGCCUCAGGCUCAAGAUGUCUCAUGAGGUUGCUGUCAAGCUAUCGGCAGGGGUGGAGAUCUCAUCUGAAGGCUUGACUCAGUUUGGGGAGGAGAUCCACUUCCAAGUUCAUGCAUGUGGUUGUUGUUGGGCCUCAGUUUCUCAUGGCAUGAGCCUCUACAUAUGUCUGUCUUAUAGCAUGGCUUCCCACAGGGCAAGCGUUCAGAGAGGGUGAGAAAGCACAUGAGAUGGAAGCUACAGUCUUUGGAGAACAUAUGCUUAGAACUGACAUUCCAUUACUUCUGCCAUAUUCUAUGCGUUAGAAGUAAGUAAGUUCAGUCUGCAUCAGGGAAGGCUGAUGUAGGAGUGCGGAUGAUUGCGUGCCUUAUGCAAGAGGCUUAUUUUAGAGCUGCCUACCAUACCUGGAAACUUAUUAGACAUACAAAUUGUUGGACCCCAUUCCAGACCUACUGAAUCAGAAACUCUGAGAGUGGGGCCCGGGAAUGUGUGUUCUACACUCCUUCUGGGUGAUUCUGAUGCAUGCUUAAGUUUGAUAGCCAUUGGCUUAGAGUAGGGGAUUGGUGAACUUCAUUUUAGGCACCAGGGGCCCCUACUAUCUCUGCCUCAGCUACUCAGCUCUGCCACAUAGAGGAAAAGUAGUUAUGGACCAUAUGUAAAUAUUGGAUAUGGCUAUGUUCUAAUACGACUUUACAAAAAGAGGCAGUGGAUGGGAUUUGGGCCCCCAGGCUAUAGUUUGUCCACCCAUGCUUGAGAGUAGCAGGGACUUUUUAUGUGAUCAGCAUUAGAUGGUGUUACCUCCGUAUUUUUUUUUCUUUUUAAAUCAGGCAAAGCUGUUUUCUCUGUUUCCUUCCAGAAUAGUCUGAGAUAAUUCUGACUCCCCAGCUCCUGAGAGAUUACCAAGACUCAGAAAAAAGGAUUGUGCAUAUGCUUGAGUUUUCUGACGUGUUUUUUUGUGGCUGCCAGUAAAUCGCAAGCUCUUUGAGAUAGUGUAUGAUGGAGGCUACGAAUAUGGGCUUUGGAGAUAGACAGAUGUGAGUUUGAAAUCUGGUUCUACCGGCACUGUGAACAUGGUGACUUAGCCUCUUUGUGCCUCAGUCUCGUCAUCUGUAAAAUAGAGCUGAUGCUAGCCUGCACCCCACACAGUUAUAAGCAGUUGUUCUAAUUACCUACUGUCAGGUGACCAAUCACCAAAUUUAGUGGCUUAAAGCAACAACAGUUGGGCAGGUCUUCCGCUCCAGUGGUGUCAUCGGUGGCUGCAGUCAUCUGUAGGCUGGGUGGCGGUACAUCCAAGGCAGUGUCCUUUGUCACUCACAUGGCUGCCAGUUGGUGCUGGCUGUCAGGAGCACCUUGCUGUCUUCCACAUGGCCUCUCUCUGUGGCUUGAUGUUUUCACAGCAGAGCAUGUGCACCUCUUGGGUUCCAAGAGGGAAUGUUCUAAGCACAGACAAGUCUUGGGAGCUGCACAGGAUCACUUCUGCAGCCACUGUCAGGACUAGUUCAGAUCCCAGGAAAAAAAAAAAUUGCUGCCAUCUUUAAGCCACUCCAGGAGUAAAUGAAAGUAACCACAAGAAGUGCUUGUCUCAUGCCUGGGCUACAACAGAAAAUAAAUGCUAAGUACUUACAUUAGGAAGCAGAAACUCUCUUGCCUGGUUCUUUGUGUCCUGUCCAUGAGGGCUUAUUGCUAUUCAGUCAACAAGUGUUUCUUCAGGGCCUGCUGGAUAUCUCUGGAAGGUCACCAGUAGGAUUCCUCUCCUCUCUACACUCUUUAAUGAUGUAGUCAGUUUCCUACACGGGUUAUCAUGACACUUUGGUUUCCUGAGAGCCCUGUAGGCCUAGCACUCUCCAUUCAGAAGCUACCUGCCCUUCAACAAGCCCAGGGAGAAAAGAGGUGGGUUGGACUAGAGGGACGCUCUGAGAUGAUUUGAUUGGAACAAGGGUCUUGUCCCCUCUCAGCUGCUGAGAUAAGGAUUCUCAGCCACAGAAAAGGACAGUCUGUGGGUAGACAGAGGGUCAAAGAGGACUGUCAAAGAGAGGAAAUGCCCUCUUAUGCUAAUUCUCCAUAAUGGAGACUCCUUUGAAAUCCGCCCCUUUGUUAGAAGCCCUUGGGGAGGGGAAGUGCUGACUACUUAAUUCCCACUAGGACACAUCUUUUGGACAAUAAGCAG
rnacentral:lncRNA from 10 species